GACACACAGGUGCCUGCAUGGCUGUCGUCAGCUCGUGUCGUGAGAUGUUGGGUUAAGUCCCGCAACGAGCGCAACCCUCGCCCUUAGUUGCCAUCAUUUAGUUGGGCACUCUAAGGGGACUGCCGGUGAUAAGCCGGAGGAAGGUGGGGAUGACGUCAAGUCUUCAUGGCCCUUACGGGCUGGGCUACACACGUGCUACAAUGGCGGUGACAGAGGGUUGCUAGGCUGCGAAGUCAUGCUAAUCCCUAAAAGCCGUCUCAGUUCGGAUUGCACUCUGCAACUCGGGUGCAUGAAGUCGGAAUUGCUAGUAAUCGCAGAUCAGCACGCUGCGGUGAAUACGUUCCCGGGCCUUGUACACACCGCCCGUCACACCAUGGGAGUUGGUUCUACCCGAAGCCGGUGCGCUAACCGCAAGGAAGCAGCCGAC
rnacentral:rRNA from 1 species